CUGAAGUCUUUUGGUCUGUUUUUUCUCUCUUGGCCAGUUUCAGUAGGAAUGUUAUUCAUGUUUGUUGCUUAUGAAAAUGUCACUUCAUACUUCCAAAUCAAAACAAUGGAAAAAUAGACGGCACUGUUUUCUUCAGAGUUUCCCAAACAUUUGAGGUAUUUGCUUUCUUUGUGUUGAGAAGAGGAAGGCUGGAGUAUGUAAGUCUUAUCUGUCUCUCUAAGCGUUUUAGAAGAGAGAGAUCUGUGCUGUGUGUUUAAAUAUAGCAUGGUGUUUGCUACUGAGAUGACGAAUAAGCAAUUGAAUAUGUAGGUCAUUGACUUAUGAGAAUGAGUUCGGAGUUUUUCUUGCAUCUGAUUUAACAACUGUCUUACAAUUGGGCUGUUGAUGCUAUGCCCAAAUUGGGUUACACAGAGUUCAGUGAGCCAUCUGGGAGGAAACUGGGAGAAGCUACAGAAGAUACCUUUGCCCCCUUAACGUGUUGGGAGUAUGGCUUGGUUUUGAGCCCUGUGAUUACAGCCAGCAUCAGUGGCACUAGCUGCUCCAGGUUGUCCUGGGAGAGACACCUCCUGCUGCACUUCUGAGCAAAUCCAUCCCAAGGGAGGGGGAAAGGCCCAUACUUAAAUCGAGAUAAAUGCCAGCGGUGUAUUUUAAUACAUUCUUGAUUCAGAACGCACUGUUUGGAAUUGCAUAUUUAAAAGGAAACUGCCAUCCCCUUUUGAAGGUAUGUGACAUUUAAAAUAUCUGUAGCAGAAGAUUGGUUUGACAGCUUCAAAUUAUAUUUGAAAGAGUUUUUCUUUUAAAAAAGAAAAUGAUUACUUCUAUUUUAAAUGUCAUCACAAAGACAUAAACAUGUUUAAUCAAAUUAUAUAUUUAAUUUAUGUAGAAUAUAAUUUCUAUUCGUGUGGAAGAUGCACUGGUUAUUUUUUCCCCAGCUCUGAAGCUGAGCAGUGUUGGUGGUUGGAAAGCGGCUCAGUUCUUUGAGUAAAUGGCCAUUUAAGGGUUUAUAGAACCAGAAAAAUAGUAUUAUUAUUGAAUUUUUUUUUUAUCUGUGCACAUCACAGUGCAUUUGGGGGAGGGGGAGGUAUUUUCAUUAUCAUUGCUGGGAGAUAGUAAGGAUAAACUGUGGAACGAACUGAAAAAAGUAUGGCCCUGAAGACAAUAAAAGCAGAAAUGGGGAAGAUAUUUCUGCAGUUUUCUUCUUUUGGAUUCUUUGAAUCAGUGGGGAGUGACUGGGAGUUCGAGCAGUGCCAGCUCUCCUUAAAAGGGAGGCCACGGGGGAUCUAGGAAGACACACACGGUGCCUCGGAAGACCUUCCGCCUGGUCCAAAAGGCUGAUGUGGAGUCUUCGGGCACCAGCCAGGCUCCCGGGCUCCUGAUGAAGCAGGGUGUAGCUGUAGGUCUGCUCUGGGGCAGGCAGCUCUCUUGACCCUGGUGAUCUGCUAGGACACGCCAACUCCAGAACUUUCUUUGAGCGAGCUGGAUGUUGGAAGCUGGCCAGCUCAGCGUACAACUGUGUGUGUCAGCCUGGGCGGUCAUGGCCUAUUCCAGCCUGCUGCCUGCAGUUUCAAUUCAGCCAGGCUGUGUCAGGGAGCCCUAGAGAGUUGUGCCCACCAGUGUGGUCCACUCACCCAGUACAAAGCUGCCCUGGGGCUGCUUUUUUCUCCUCCCCCUCCCCUAAGGCUGCUCUACCAGGGAAGGUGCCCCUGUCGGAUACAGCCUGGGAGCCCUGGGCAGGCAACAGCUGGGGGAGAGAGAGCCAGCCAGCCAGCCAGCCAGCCGUGCCUGUUCCCAGGAAAGAACUGACGUAGGAGGCAUCUUUGCCAGCUCCAGCAGAGAAGGUCAGGGUUCAGCGUUCUGCUGUGCCCCAGGGAGUCGGAGGACACCAAUCCCAGUCCAUGGCCUAGGUAGCAUCAACAGGGCCAGCUCCCCGUGGGUCCACCUAAGCAUCAGUCCACCAGAGAAACGAAUUGCCCUACUUAUUAGCAUGAACCAAACUAUAGAAACCAAAAAAAUUGGACAGACCUAUUGGCUGUUUAUAUGUUCUCAUUUUGAAAUAAACAUAGAUCCACAUGCAGUUGGAAGAAAAGUAAUACAGGGACAUCCCAGUGGGAAGAUCCUGUAAAAUUAUGGUAACAGUAACCUAGAAAUUGACAUUGAUAAAAUCCACUGAUACUAUUCUCAUUUCCCCUUUGUUGCCUGGACACAUUUGAGCGUGUGUUCUGUACAGUUUUAUCAUACAUGUAGAUUCCUAGUUAGCCACUUCAAGAAUAUCCCCGUUGUCCUUUCACAAGACAUAUCCCCUUUAGGUGGCCAGGACAGCCUCUGGCUGACAUACACUGUUAUACAUGGGGUAAUUGGCUUCCAAGACCCAGCUCACUGAUAGAAAGUUCUGGAGUUGGAUUUUUGUCUUGAUCCCAGUCCUGAGCCUGACAGCUAAUCUUUUUCCAUUUCUUAAUUUUGUCAUUUAAGAAUGUUCAGUAAAUAGAAUCAUACUGUGUGUAACCUUUGAGGAUUGAUUUUCCUCACCUUAAUUCCUUUUGCAGUUCACUGAAGUUUCAUGUGUCAUUCAUUUGUUUCUGUGUAUUUAUUAUGAUCAGUGUUCUAUAUCAAAGAUUUCUCAACCAGUCUCGUACUGGAAUUCUGGGUAAGAGGAAACCCUUCAUAAAGACCUGAGAGUUAGGCCAUUUUUUGUUUGCUGUCUUGCAGGACUGGACAUUUUUAUAGCCCUCAUGUAGCUUGUCCCAUUUCUCUGCACCUGUCUCAGCAGAUGUCAGUGGGGGGUUGUUUGCAUCAUGAUGGUUUGGUUGUGUUUUGAAACUAGCAGAUGAGCCCCUUGUGAGUUUUUGUUAUUGUUUUCGCUUUUUCUGAGACAAGGUCUCACUAUAUAGUACAGGUUAGCCUAGAACUCAAGAUCCUCCUGCAUCAGCCUCUCCUGAGUGCUGGGCUUAUAGGUGUGUACCAACAUACCUGCUCCCCUUGAGAGUUUUGUUCAUCUGUGUUGUGUGUUUUUGCACAGUGCAUGUUGACUGAACUAUGUGAAGAAACAAAACUUUGGACAGAGCAUUUUUGAGUCUCGGUGUUUUGCCUGUUAGCAGUCAUGCUCUGAGAAUAACAUGUAGGGUGUGGGCCUGAUGCACUAAACAGGCAUAGGCUGUGCCGUCAUGGUUCUUUGGCAGAAGUCUGUACACUGCCAUGGCUUUGGCAGGCCUGAGUGAGAACUGUAAAAUUACAAGUCCUGAGAAUGUAAUUUCACAGUGAAUAUUUGAGCUGUCAUUCUUUGAGAAAGCACCUUGCACUGCAUUCUGAAGAGUCCAUACAUGUGUGUUGUUUACAUGUUCACCAUGUGUGUGAGGAUGGCACGUAUGAAUUAAUGCUGUCAUGGACAGCCACACAAAAAGGUUGCCUAUACCUUCAAAACUAAUGAAAUGCAAGUAAUUACAUAGUGUGCAGGUUAGUCCAGGACUCUCAGUGUUAGUUACUGCUGUACAUGAAUCAAUAGAUGUUUAUAUGCUCUGUGCGUUCUUCAGGGGUUCUGCAGCUUGCUUUUUGCUGAAUUGAGAUGUAAGUGCAGACAGUGCUGUGCUGUCUGCUCUUUUUGUACUUGGUUGAUGAAAGGACUAGAAAGUCCACUUGCUGGUGCUUGGGAUUGGUUCUCUGGCUGAGUGGGCCAUGGGCCAGUCCAGCAUAUUUGGCUUUUCUCUCCCUGCGCCAGGUGCUUCUCGGUAGCAACUGUGGCACUGUGUCGGAGCCAUCACAACUGGGUGGUCUCAGCCCACUGGUCCCAUGUAAAGGGAUGUCUAUCCUGUUGUAGUAUCAGGAGCUGCUGGGGGUUUAUUCCACUGUGAAGUGUUGCUGACUGUGUUGGGUGGGGAGUAGAAAGGACCUUGUUAAAACAGUUUUCUUUGUUGCUGAAGGCCUGGGUGAACUGAGCUUUGGUUUGCCUAUUUCUUUUCUUUCUUCUUUUUUUUGUUUUUGUUUUUGAGACAGGGUCUCACUAUGUAUCCCAGGCUGGCCUUGAACUUGGGGCAAUCCUCCUGCCUCAGCUCCCUGAGUGCUAGGAUUACAGGCUUGCACCACCGUGCCUGACCCUGGUUUCCCCAUUUUUGGAUGCUUGAAUUUCCCUUCAUUUAGCUCUCAGGGGACUUCAUUGAAAUCUUGUGUUUGCAAUUUUUUGGGUGCUGACCUCUGUGGUAUACCUGGCCUUGAAAAUGAGUUUCUAAGAAGUACAAUUUUUUUUCUUAAAGUUAGGAAAUUAGAAAUAGUGUCUGUACCUGUGUUUUUGUUUUGUUUCCUGGUACUGGGAAUCGAACUCAGGACCUUGCACUUGCCAGUCAGGCACAGUGCCGUUGAGCUACAUCCCCAGACCUGUGGAAUAGUAUCCAUAUUAACUUAGCCUAGAGCCUGCUGAGAGGUCCACCUUUCCACAUCCCCCAGGAUAUCUGAGUGCGCCUGUCUGGCCCCCAGGAAUCCCCACAGUGCCUCUCACCCUUGCCACUCUCUCAGGUUGGUUGGCCGUUGCAGUUUGAACUUCUGCAUUGAUAUUCUAAGGGGGACAUCUUGUUUUGAGGGAAGAGGGACACUUCAAAACAUGCCUUGGAAGUGCAGCUAUUACUCAGCAACUUGCAUCUUCACUGGAGCCUCUUUGUAAAAUUGCUGUGGUGUGUCUGGGAAGCAAAGCAGAAGCAGCCCAGGCAGUGCCCUGCCUGACCUAGGAGCCCCACAACCUUGUGCCCAUUGUAGGACAGCAUGCUCUGUGUAGAACAUGGAAAAAUACAGGAAAGUAUGAAGAAAAUUAAAGAUAUGUUGUAUCUUUUAAAAAUCAUCUUAAUCUUAUCUUGG
rnacentral:lncRNA from 1 species